AUACCAGGGGUUUAGGGAGGCGGGGGAGGAGGGCAAGCGGUACUUCAGUGGGGUAGGGGUAAAAUCCACUGAUCCACUGAAGACCACAGUGGCGAAGGCGGCUUGCCAGAACGCGCUCGACGGUGAGGGAUGAAAGCUGGGGGAGCAAACCGGAUUAGAUACUCGGGUAGUCCCAGCUGUAAACGAUGCAGACUCGGUGAUGGGCUAGCUUUGAGCCAGCCCAGUGCCGCAGGGAAGCCGUUAAGUCUGCCGCCUGGGGAGUACGGUCGCAAGACUGAAACUUAAAGGAAUUGGCGGGGGAGCAUCACAAGGGGUGAAGCCUGCGGUUCAAUUGGAGUCAACGCCGGAAAUCUUACCGGGGGCGACAGCAGAGUGAAGGUCAAGCUGAAGACUUUACCAGACAAGCUGAGAGGAGGUGCAUGGCCGUCGCCAGCUCGUGCCGUGAGGUGUCCUGUUAAGUCAGGUAACGAGCAAGAUCCCUGCUUCUAGUUGCUACCACCGUUCUCAGGAACGGAGGGGCUAAUUAGAGGGACCGCCGCCGCUGAGGCGGAGGAAGGAGGGGGCUACGGCAGGUCAGUAUGCCCCGAAACCCUCGGGCCACACGCGGGCUGCAAUGGUAGGGACAGCGGGCUCCGAUUCCGAAAGGAGGAGGCAAUCCCUCAAACCCUACCCCAGUUAUGAUUGAGGGCUGAAACUCGCCCUCAUGAAUAUGGAAUCCCUAGUAACCGCGUGUCACUAUCGCGCGGUGAAUACGUCCUUGCUCCUUGCACUCACCCCCGUC
rnacentral:rRNA from 1 species